GACACGUCCGUCGUUGACCAGCAUAAGACACCGUGACCUGUGUGCGGAAGUCAUCAAGGUACACAUACGAUGGUAUGGCCUGGCGUAGAGACAUCUUGAGGGUAAACGAACCGUCUGGGAGACCAACAUACGCCCCAGCCACCCGCAUGCCUUGUUUAGCCAUAUGUAUCACUCCGUAUCUUCUGAAAACACUGCGGAGAUCUGUUGCAUCGGCCUCGAAGGGCACAUUGCGCAGUUUCACCCACGUAUAUUGUCGAGAGACAUCCACCAUACGCACAUGCACGUCAGGGGGACACAUCUACGCAGAGAUCUUGGAACUGCUCAACCAGCUGCUCGUACACUGGCUCGUAGAGUAGUUUUACAAAUAUCCGGUAUGCGCCAUUUAAUGCUACACCGUACAAAUCCUUGUCCGCAAUACCAUAAGUGUCACGGAUAAUCUUGGGUAGCAAAACUUGUUCAUUCUCAGGCGUAAUCGCCCCCCGAACAAGCUGUAUACCAACGGUAUUCACCCGCCUCCUCACGCUGAAUACCAUGACGUCACCGGAUAGCUUGCUAGACUAUUAUUGUCUAUUAUAGUACUAUUAUUGUCUAUUAUAGUACUAUUAUUGUCUAUUAUAGUACUAUUAUUGUCUAUUAUAGUACUAUUAUUGUCUAUUAUAGUACUAUUACUGUCUAUUAUAGUACUAUUAUUGUCUAUUAUAGUACUAUUAUUGUGAGGGAAAAGUAGGUGUAAGUGGGGUUAAGGUUGUUCGGGCAACCAGGAACCAUUAGAGAGUUACGUUGCGCGCGCACACACCCCCCCCCUCUCUGGCGGGCUGGGGCAAAACUAGUUCCUGGUGUCCGAUUUGUUAAAGUUUCUACUCCUGGUAAUAUUGACCUUACCUGGUGUGGAUGGAAGUUUGGAGAGUCACUUCGCCUCCACUCUUCUCCUAAUCAGCUCUGUUCCUGGCGUGGUCUUCCAGGAUAGACGCCAGAUAAAGGGGCAAGACGUGUGUUAAUAAUACUUAUUAACAUUAUUCUACAACUACCGGCCCUUACCUAUACUACUUGUGCUCCAUCCAAGUGGUAGGAGAUUCCAGAACAUCGGAUUACCAUCUGCCCAGGAUAACCUACAUAAAUAACAUCAGAGGAACUAUCUAGGGCCAUACCUACUCCUACCCAACUACCUGAAUUGAAGGCCAUAUUUUUUUUAUUAUAUUUAAAUUUUAAGUAAAAUUCUCAAAAAUCA